AACGAACGCUGGCGGCGCGUCUUAAGCAUGCAAGUCGAACGGCAAGGCAGGUGCUUGCACCUGCCCUAGAGUGGCGGACUGGUGAGUAACACGUGGGUGACAUGCCUUUUAGUUGGGGAUAGCUACUAGAAAUAGUAGAUAAUACCGAAUGUGAUCAAUGUUUAUAAAUGAUGUUGAGGAAAGGAGCUAAGGCUUCGCUAAAAGAUUGGCCCGCGGCCCAUUAGCUAGUUGGUAGGGUAAAGGCUUACCAAGGCUUUGAUGGGUAUCCGGCCUGAGAGGGUGAUCGGACACAUUGGGACUGAGAUACGGCCCAGACUCCUACGGGAGGCAGCAGCUAAGAAUAUUCCACAAUGGACGAAAGUCUGAUGGAGCGACGCCGCGUGGAUGAUGAAGGCCGAAAGGUUGUAAAAUCCUUUUACACUGGAGGAAUAAGCAGAGUAGGGAAUGACUCUGUGAUGACUGUACAGUUUGAAUAAGCAACGGCUAAUUACGUGCCAGCAGCCGCGGUAACACGUAAGUUGCGAGCGUUGNUCGGAAUUAUUGGCCGUAAAGGGCAUGUA
rnacentral:rRNA from 1 species